UGUUUUAGGUGAGUUCUCCUGUUGGUUUGACUGGGGGUGGUUUCUCAGCUUCUUCAUCUUGCUUGUUGUUUUCUUUCUCCUGAGGGAGUUGUACUCUCCGUUAUCGGGCAGUGUUUGCCUUGUCACUGCCGUGGAAUAUUUCCUGAGGGCUGGCGUUGUUGGUCAAUCUUUUUUGAGGCAGUGUGGCUUUUCUGGAGUGUUGAUGGGGCUAACAGUGUUUCUUUGAAGCAAAGGAGGACUUCCUGAGGGCAGACAGGACUGGGAGGUCCACACCACGAUGGUAGCAGAUUUCACUUGGUCAUGCAGAGCUUGCUCUGGUGUUUUUAGGCUGUGGGGUUCUUGCAGGGGGUUGGCGGUGUUGGGCAGCUGCUCCUCAGGAGUGCAGCACCCCCUGGGGGCUGGAGCAGCUAUCUGGGUCACUGAGAACCUAAGAGGCUCUUCCCUAGGGCAGCCCAACUCAGAAGGACAGCCUGAGAAUGUAGGCGGAUCUUUUCACAGUCUGGCCGAGCUUGUUGCAGCUUUUCUGGGCUGCAGGGGCUCUUCCAGGGGGCUGGUGGUGCUGAGCAGUUAUUUCACGGGAAGCAUCCCCUGGGGGCUUGGGCGGGUAGCAGGGCCGUUGGAAACCGAAGAGGCUCCUCCCCGGGGCAACCCGACUCAGAAAAACCGUCCGAGAAUUAGGCCGAUCUAUUCACAGCCUGGCUAAGCUUGUUCUAGCUUUUCUAGGCUGCAGGCCUUUUCUCGGGGGCUGGUGGUGUUUGGUGCUGCUCUGCGGAAGUGUAGCCCCUCCAAAGGGCAAGCAGGCCUGUGCAGGGACAGCCCCUGCGGUGGUAGGCUUCAGGCAAUUGUUGAGGCCAGCCCUCCUGGAUGGCAGGCAGCCCCAGGUCCGGGAGAGCGUAGGGCGUGGCGGGGGUGGGGGGAGGGGAUGCACUGGGAAGCACAGCUUUCAGCUAGCUAGCGGGCCUGUAAGCUUGCUGUGGCGUGGGGGGUAUUCUAUGGGGACCCACCCCUUCUUCUCUCCCCUCCCCAGCACGGGCGCAGACCAGGCUCUUCUCCCAGGUUCCCUCUGAUGUGGCUUUCCCCUUCCCCACUCCUGGAGUAUUGCUCCCUUCCUCUGCGACAGCUUUGUUUUCUAGUCUCCCAGGCAGUCUCUGCCCCGUCAACUGGUUUCUAGACCUCCCAAGCAGUUUCCGCUCUGCCCCGCCCCCCUAGCCCGGGGACUAAUCUCUGGAGCCGAGGUCUCGGUGCCCAGCCCCCACCCAGGCGGCGCCCCCCGGCCCUUUCUCGGGGACUAACCUUCUGCGGCGAGGUCUCGGUGCCCAGCCCCCCUCCCAGGCGUCCCCCGGCCCUUUCUCAGGGAUUAACCUUCGGAGGCGAGGUCUCGGUGCCCAGCCCCCACCCAGGCGUCCCCCGGCCCCCUCUCGGGGACUAACCUUCGGAGGCGAGGUCUCGGUGCCCAGCCCCCACCCAGGCGUCUCAAUUUUUGGUGACUCUGCCCGUAGUUCAGAUGGUCCGUUGGGUUCUUGAUCGGCUUUUCCGUACUCCAACUUACUGCUACACUCUUCUCUGCAUCUGGAGAUUCCUCCGGUUCGUUUGAUCUUUCGCCCGGUAGGUGACUUUCCAGGGUGCGGGAUCCCUUUCUCCUCCGCAGUUCCCUUUCGG
rnacentral:lncRNA from 1 species